rnacentral:rRNA from 1 species
AUUGAACGCUGGCGGCAGGCCUAACACAUGCAAGUCGAGCGGAUGAAGGGAGCUUGCUCCUGGAUUCAGCGGCGGACGGGUGAGUAAUGCCUAGGAAUCUGCCUGGUAGUGGGGGAUAACGUCCGGAAACGGGCGCUAAUACCGCAUACGUCCUGCGGGAGAAAGUGGGGGAUCUUCGGACCUCACGCUAUCAGAUGAGCCUAGGUCGGAUUAGCUAGUUGGUGGGGUAAAGGCCUACCAAGGCGACGAUCCGUAACUGGUCUGAGAGGAUGAUCAGUCACACGGGAACUGAGACACGGUCCAGACUCCUACGGGAGGCAGCAGUGGAGAAUAUUGGACGAUGGGGGAAAGCCUGAUCCAGCCAUGCCGCGUGUGUGAAGAAGGUCUUCGGAUUGUAAAGCACUUUAAGUUGGGGGGAAGGGCAGUAAGUUAAUACCUUGCUGUUUUGACGUUACCAACAGAAUAAGCACCGGCUAACUUCGUG